rnacentral:rRNA from 1 species
UACACUCCUCCGGGAGGCAGCAGUGGGGAAUUUUGGGCAAUGGGCGAAAGCCUGAUCCAGCCAUGCCGCGUGCAGGAUGAAGGCCUUCGGGUUGUAAACUGCUUUUGUACGGAACGAAACGGCCUUUUCUAAUAAAGAGGGCUAAUGACGGUACCGUAAGAAUAAGCACCGGCUAACUACGUGCCAGCAGCCGCGGUAAUACGUAGGGUGCAAGCGUUAAUCGGAAUUACUGGGCGUAAAGCGUGCGCAGGCGGUUAUGUAAGACAGUUGUGAAAUCCCCGGGCUCAACCUGGGAACUGCAUCCGUGACUGCAUAGCUAGAGUACGGUAGAGGGGGAUGGAAUUCCGCGUGUAGCAGUGAAAUGCGUAGAUAUGCGGAGGAACACCGAUGGCGAAGACAAUCCCCUGGACCUGUACUGACGCUCAUGCACGAAAGCGUGGGGAGCAAACAGGAUUAGAAACCCCUGUAGUCCCAUGA